CAGUCGCCACGGGAAUACGGAGGGUGCAAGCGUUAUCCGGAUUUAUUGGGUUUAAAGGGUCCGUAGGCGGAUCUGUAAGUCAGUGGUGAAAUCUCACAGCUUAACUGUGAAACUGCCAUUGAUACUGCAGGUCUUGAGUAAAUUUGAAGUGGCUGGAAUAAGUAGUGUAGCGGUGAAAUGCAUAGAUAUUACUUAGAACACCAAUUGCGAAGGCAGGUCACUAAGAUUUAACUGACGCUGAUGGACGAAAGCGUGGGGAGCGAACAGGAUUAGAUACCCGAGUAGUCCCUGUCUCUUAUAC
rnacentral:rRNA from 1 species